GACGAACGCUGGCGGCGUGCUUAACACAUGCAAGUCGAACGGUGAAGGUGGAGCUUGCUCCGCCGGAUCAGUGGCGAACGGGUGAGUAACACGUGGGCAACCUGCCCCAGACUUCGGGAUAACUCCUCGAAAGAGGUGCUAAUACCGGAUACGAACUCCUUGGGCAUCCUUGGAGUUGGAAAGUUUUUCGGUCUGGGAUGGGCCCGCGGCCUAUCAGCUUGUUGGUGAGGUAACGGCUCACCAAGGCGACGACGGGUAGCCGGCCUGAGAGGGCGACCGGCCACACUGGGACUGAGACACGGCCCAGACUCCUACGGGAGGCAGCAGUGGGGAAUAUUGCGCAAUGGGCGAAAGCCUGACGCAGCAACGCCGCGUGAGGGAUGACGGCCUUCGGGUUGUAAACCUCUUUCAGCAGGGAAGAAGCGAAAGUGACGGUACCUGCAGAAGAAGCACCGGCUAACUACGUGCCAGCCGCCGCGGUAA
rnacentral:rRNA from 1 species